rnacentral:lncRNA from 1 species
ACGCUCUUACCAUUGUGAUGUCAUCUACCAUGAAGCUUUCACCAGAGCUGAGCAGAUGCUGGCACUAUGCUUUUGAAUCUCUAAAGCCAAAAGCUAAAUAAACCUCUCUUUUCUUUAUAAAUUACCCAGACUUCUCUAGAGGUCUGCGUCAUUGGCUGCUCACUUCCCUGGAAAGAAGACUUCCGGUUGUCCAUCUGGAAGCCACAGCGUGCACCUGCUCUGGAAUGCUUUCCUGGCCCACAUUCUGGAAGACUUGGCCAUAUGCUCCUGGUGAUGUCCACGAUGGCCAGGGACAUCAGCCUGCAGUAGUGCUCACCGUGCAUGGAGCAGCUUGCAAGAAUCUGUAGGCAGCUACCAAGGGAGGACAUACAUUGCGCUGAAGAGCUAGCAAACAAAUUGAGGGGAGAAGAGGAACACAAAUAAAGACAGAAAGCCAAAGGACCAUGUGGCAGAUAAUUAUUGUUUCUUCAUGUCUGGCCUUCACCUAUCUUUUUCUAGUAAACAAACAUACAAACA